GCUGUGGUAGCUCAGUGGUUACAGCUUCGAGUUACAGAUAAGAAGGUCAUGUUUUCAAAUCCCAGCACCACCA